AGGUAGUGUGUAUGGGAGCUAGUGAGAGGUGCGAGCUGCACCUAAUCAUGUCUACUGCAUGUGUGUAGCUCCAUGUGUUGGGUAGAUAAUCUUACAAUCGGAGUCUUGUUCUCUGUCAGUCUAGGAUCAGUAACUCCAGGUUUUGUAAAACAUGACACUCUUUGCUAGCUGUGGCAUUUAUGGUUUCACCCUCUUCCACUCAGGUGAGAGUCGUGGCGGUGUCGAGGCCUUCUCUGUCCGCUUGCGGGUGGGUAGUCCCCAUGUUCCGAUGGCUUUCAUCCCUUCCUCAGGGGAGAGUGCGUGUGGGAAUG